GACAGGAGGCUGAAGAAAUUCGGCUUGUCACCAAAAGCACUCACAAACUUCUACAGAUGCACAAUCGAGAGCAUCCUGGCGGGCUGUAUCACCGCCUGGUAUGGCAACUGCACCGCCCUCAACCGUAAGGCUCUCCAGAGGGUAGUGAGGUCUGCACAACGCAUCACCGGGGGCAAACUACCUGCCCUGUUACGGUGAGUGAAUGAGGACCCAAAAGCGAACUAACUUAAACAGAGCUUCUUUAAUAACCAAACAUAGGUAGGCUCAGAUAGACCGGCAGAUUCCGACAGGACAGGACAAGGUUACAGCAAACAUGACGAUAGUCUGGCUCAGGCAUGAAACACAACAAACAAGAAUCCGACAAGGACAGGAACAAAAACAGAGAGAGAUAUAGGGGACUAAUCAGAGGGAAAAGGGGAACAGGUGGGAGAAGGGGUGACGAGGUAGUCAAGAGGAGACAAGGAACAGCUGGGGGAAAGCGGGGGAGAAAAGGUAACCUAAUACGACCAGCAGAGGGAGACAGGGUGAAAGGAAAGGACAGAAAGACACAACAUGACAAUACAUGACAGUACUGGCUCAGGCAUGAAACACAACAAACAAGAAUCCGACAAGGACAGGAACAAAAACAGAGAGAGAUAUAGGGGACUAAUCAGAGGGAAAAGGGGAACAGGUGGGAGAAGGGGUGACGAGGUAGUCAAGAGGAGACAAGGAACAGCUGGGGGAAAGCGGGGGAGAAAAGGUAACCUAAUACGACCAGCAGAGGGAGACAGGGUGAAAGGAAAGGACAGAAAGACACAACAUGACAAUACAUGACAUGCCCUCCAGGACACCUACACCACCCAAUGUCACAGGAAGGCCAUAAAGAUCAUCAAGGACAUCAACCACCCGAGCCACUGCCUGUUCACCCCGCUAUCAUCCAGAAGGCGAGGUCAGUACAGGUGCAUCAAAGCUGGGACCGAGAGACUGAAAAACAGCUUCUAUCUCAAGGCCAUCAGACUGUUAAACAGCCACCACUAACACUGACACUGACUCAACUCCAGCCACUUUAAUAAUGGGAAUUGAUGGGAAAGGACGUAAAUAUAUCACUAGCCACUUUA
rnacentral:lncRNA from 13 species